rnacentral:rRNA from 1 species
AAUCAACGCUGGCGGCGUGCCUAACACAUGCAAGUCGAGCGCGAAAGGGGGCAACCCCGAGUAGAGCGGCGAACGGGUGAGUAACGCGUGGGUGAUUUGCCUCCGAGUGGGGAACAACACCGGGAAACUGGUGCUAAUACCGCAUGACAUCCUCGGGUCGUACUGGGGAUCAAAGCUGGGGACCGCAAGGCCUAGCGCUUGGAGAGAAGCCCGCGUCCGAUUAGCUAGUUGGCGGGGUAAUGGCCUACCAAGGCGACGAUCGGUAGCCGGCCUGAGAGGGCGGACGGCCACACUGGGACUGAGACACGGCCCAGACUCCUACGGGAGGCAGCAGUGGGGAAUUUUUCGCAAUGGGGGAAACCCGUGACGAAGCAACGCCGCGUGGAGGAUGAAGGCCUUC